rnacentral:rRNA from 1 species
ACGGCUGCUCAGUAACACGUAGUCAACUUACCCUAUGGACGAGGAUAAUCUCGGGAAACUGAGCAUAAUACUCGAUAGAUCAUAAUGCCUGGAAUGGUUUAUGGUUGAAAUGAUUCAUCGCCAUAGGAUGGGACUGCGGCCUAUCAGCUUGUUGGUGAGGUAAUGGCCCACCAAGGCGAUUACAGGUACGGGCUCUGAGAGGAGAAGCCCGGAGAUGGGUACUGAGACAAGGACCCAGGCCCUAUGGGGCGCAGCAGGCGAGAAAACUUUGCAAUGUACGAAAGCACGACAAGGUUAAUCCGAGUGAUUUCUGCUAAAGAAAUCUUUUGCAAGUCAUAAAACCACUAGUGAAUAAGGGGUGGGCAAGUUCUGGUGUCAGCCGCCGCGGUAAAACCAGCACCUCAAGUGGUCAGGAGGAUUAUUGGGCCUAAAGCAUCCGUAGCCGGCUCUGUAAGUUCUCGGUUAAAUCCAUGUGCUCAACGCAUGGGCUGCCGAAAAUACUGCAUAGCUAGGGAGUGGGAGAGGUAGACGGUACUCGGUAGGAAGGGGUAAAAUCCUUUGAUCUAUCGAUGACCACCUGUGGCGAAGGCGGUCUACCAGAACACGUUCGACGGUGAGGGAUGAAAGCUGGGGGAGCAAACCGGAUUAGAUACCCGGGUAGUCCCAGCUGUAAACGAUGCAGACUCGAUGAUGCAUUGGCAUAUAGCCAGUGCAGUGUCGCAGGGAAGCCGUUAAGUCUGCCGCCUGGGAAGUACGUACGCAAGUAUGAAACUUAAAGGAAUUGGCGGGGGAGCAGAAA